ACGCGCGCGAUCGUGUACGAUCGUACCGCCGCCGAUCGUGUAUACACGGCGUCGCUUCGAUGAAAGGGUUCACGGGAAAAAAAAAAAAAAAACGGGGACAUUUACCCCUUCGAUCUAUUUUCAAUCUUCUUUAAAUACUCCGGGAGAGAAUUGAUGCUCGUUAAAUCUCGUUAGCGAUUCAACUCUGUGUUCGCAAAGUGGUCUGGAUAAUUUGAUCCGGUAUCUAUAACGUAAUAUUAACGAUAUUACGUAUGAAACUGAUUUCGGUGUUCGAUUCUUAAUUCUCGCGCACGCUCUUUGCGGCAAAUCGAAGUCGGCAAGUAAACCCUAGAUACGGGUGCGUGACGUUUUUUUGACGUGAGAAUCGACGAGAGAGUCGUGUAAGGAUUUAUCGCCGGAAGAGAAAACAAAAACGUGCGCAGAUAUCUGACGCGUUGAUACAAGAGAUUGAAACAAGAUUCAACGUGCGAUUGUGGUUCGACGUUGACACGAAAAUAAAUCAAAAAAAAAAAAAAAAAAAACGAG